rnacentral:ncRNA from 1 species
AGGUUCUUUUAGGCAAUAACAUUGCCAAAAGAUUAAAAGGGAACCAGGUGAAAGUCCUGGACAGUGCUCGCUGCUGUAAUUCUCUACCACUGGGCCGUUCACACACAAGCCACUGGUUGCAACCAUCAAUUUCACAUUGACUGCAUCAUCACCGGGAAGGCGUGAACAGAGCCGGAGAAAAGUCAGAAGACCUACCUAAGAUUUA